rnacentral:rRNA from 1 species
UACGAAGGGGGCUAGCGUUGUUCGGAAUCACUGGGCGUAAAGCGCACGUAGGCGGGUUUGUAAGUUAGGGGUGAAAUCCCGGGGCUCAACCUCGGAACUGCCCUUGAUACUGCAAGCCUAGAGUCCGAGAGAGGUGAGUGGAAUUCCUAGUGUAGAGGUGAAAUUCGUAGAUAUUAGGAAGAACACCAGUGGCGAAGGCGGCUCACUGGCUCGGUACUGACGCUGAGGUGCGAAAGCGUGGGGAGCAAACAGG